rnacentral:tRNA from 1 species
UCGAGGCUAGUUUAUAUUAAAAUAUUGGUUUGUGGUACCAGUGAAAUUAAAAAUUUAAUGUCUCGU